rnacentral:rRNA from 1 species
GACAGAGGGUGCGAACGUUGUUCGGAAUUACUGGGCGUAAAGCGCAUGUAGGCGGCAGCGCAAGUCGGGCGUGAAAUCCCACGGCUCAACCGUGGAAGUGCACUCGAAACUGCGCAGCUAGAGUCCUGGAGAGGAAGGUGGAAUGCUUGGUGGUAGAGGUGAAAUUCGUAGAUAUCAAGCGGAACACCGGUGGCGAAGGCGGCCUUCUGGACAGUGACUGACGCUGA